rnacentral:rRNA from 1 species
AGUGAACGCUGGCGGUAGGCCUAACACAUGCAAGUCGAACGGCAGCACCGUAAGAGCUUGCUCUUACGGGAGGAGCGUGUGGGACGGGUGCGGUAUACAUCGGACUCUCCUUUUAAGCGGGGGAUAACGUCGGGAAUCUUGCGCUAAUACAGCAUACGACCUACGGGUUAAAGCAGGGGAUCUUUGGCCCUUUCGUGAUUGAAUGACCCGAUAUCGGAUUAGUUAGUUGGCGGGGUAAGGGCACACCCAGGCACCGGUCCGUAGCUGGCCUGAGAGGAUGAUCAGCCAGACUGGAACGGAGACACGGUCCAGACUCCUACGGGAGGCGGCAGUGGGGAAUAUUGGAGGAAGGGCGGAAGCAUGAUCCAGCCAGACCGAGUGGGUGAAGAAGGCCUUCGGGUUGUAAAACGCUGUUGUUUGGGAAGAAAAGCAGCAGGUUAAGACCCCGCCGUUCUGACGGUACCCAAAGAAUAAGCACCGGCUAACUUCGUG